ensembl:snoRNA Gm25906 predicted gene, 25906
CCAGCCCUAAGAGGUGUGCAGGUGUGGCUGCUGUGUCACAUAUGUGUCAGUAGGUGGCAGAGAAGAGACUAUGCUCAGGGUUCUGUUCUGACCUGUGAAUAUCUGAAUGAUUAGUAGCCCAACAGU